rnacentral:rRNA from 1 species
UACGUAGGGUGCAAGCGUUGUCCGGAAUUAUUGGGCGUAAAGAGCUCGUAGGCGGUUUGUCGCGUCUGCUGUGAAAACUCAGGGCUUAACUCUGAGCUUGCAGUGGGUACGGGCAGACUAGAGUGCGGUAGGGGAGACUGGAAUUCCUGGUGUAGCGGUGAAAUGCGCAGAUAUCAGGGAGGAACACCCGGUGGGCGAAAGGCGGGGUCUCUGGGC